AAAAAAUACACUGUUUUUCUCAAUUAUUUUCCAGCACAUACUGAUACAUUUAAUCACCUACAAAAGUAUUGCACAACUUGAAAGAGCAGCAGCAACAAAAGAUAACGAGACAGAGAGAUGAAAGAAGCUUUCAAAGCAUAGGAGUAGUAGUGAGGAUCUGUAAAAUUCUGCUGUCGACCCCACCAAAUAUAAGACGACGGUGGAGGAGGCACAGCUGGUGGCGAGUGGUGGUGUGCUAGCAAUAGUGGCGACGGCUUUGAAUUCCCUGGUGGUGGAGAACAUACGACAGAACAUGUCUCACAGUCACUGAUGCAUAGCAAAGCCUGAAGCUGGUAUGCUGGUUUGGUUCUCAGAUUUUGAUGUAGAAAACAGGAUCAAGAAGAGAGAGAGAGAGAGACUUUUCUAGUUUUAAUACAAUAACUCCACUAUGUUUGAUCUGAUUCCUUCAGUUCAUGAAUGAACUCGAAAACAAAUGGAAAUGCUGUGUCCCUGUGACAUAAACUCGUGGCACCAUAUAUUGGCCUAAUGCGCAUGGAUUAGUGUCGGUUCAUUAUUUCUUUCAAUGAGAUGGAGAAUCUUAAGCAGAAUCCAAUCGGCAGAGAAAUUUCCUCCUUUAUUUUGGCCUUUUCUGGGCACAAUCCACCUUUGUAGGCACAAUUCCAGCCAAUUUGAUUCACACUUUGUGCUUUCUGCUCUGCAUAUUCUUGUUUUAGGGGAAGAACCUUUGGUUAUCAUUUUUGGUCUCUAGAGAAUCACAUCUUCAAUUGCAGAUUCUGAGGGACCUCUUCAGAAUAUGCAGUAACAUUAUGCAAUACUAAUUGCAUAAAUAAAAAACAACUGCAUUA
rnacentral:lncRNA from 1 species